GUGCAAUUUUUGGAUAAUCGCGUGGUAAAUAUUGCAAUUUUAUCAUGAGGAAAGUCCAUGCUAGCACUGGCUGUGAUGCCAGUAGUGUUUGUGCUAGACAAAAAAAUAAGUCUAGGGAUGUGCUUUGCGCAUUACGGCGGAUAAAAUGGCUAAGUCUUUGAUAGGCCGGAGUAAUUCUGAAAGUGCCACAGUGACGUAGCUUUUAUGGAAACAUAAAAGGUGGAACGCGGUAAACCCCUCAAGCUAGCAACCCAAACUUUGGUAGGGGCAUGGAAAAGCUGGAAAAAGAACGGUCUUUUCUGACUGCAUAAGCAGUAGACAGAUGAUUAUCAAAAAAGGUGGUACCUAGUCACCUUUGGAACAAAACAUGGCUUAUAGAA
rnacentral:RNase_P_RNA from 1 species